UACGAAGGGGGCGAGCGUUGUUCGGAUUUACUGGGCGUAAAGGGCGCGCAGGCGGCGAGUUUUGUCAGGCGUGAAAGCCCCGGGCUCAACCUGGGAAUUGCGCUUGAAACGGGCUUGCUAGAGAUCGGGAGAGGAGAGUGGAAUUCCCAGUGUAGAGGUGAAAUGCGCAGAUAUCAGGAAGAACACCCGUGGCGAAGGCGGCUCUCUGGAACGCAACUGACGCUGAGACGCGAAAGCGUGGGGAGCAAACAGG
rnacentral:rRNA from 1 species